rnacentral:rRNA from 1 species
UACGGAGGGUGCAAGCGUUAUCCGGAUUCACUGGGUUUAAAGGGUGCGUAGGCGGAUAGGGAAGUCCGUGGUGAAAUCCUGCAGCUUAACUGCAGAACUGCCGUGGAUACUCUCUAUCUUGAAUAUCGUGGAGGUUAGCGGAAUAUGUCAUGUAGCGGUGAAAUGCUUAGAUAUGACAUAGAACACCCAUGCGAAGGCAGCUAACUACGCGAUCAUUGACGCUGAUGCACGAAAGCGUGGGGAUCAAACAGG